rnacentral:tRNA from 1 species
GGCUUAGCUAAUAAAUUAUGUUUUGUAGAGCGCUUGCCUGGCAGGCAAGAGGUCAGCGGUUCGAAUCCGCUAUUCUCCA